rnacentral:rRNA from 1 species
GGAGUUAGGAAAUGUAGGCUCGCUAAUAUCGGGUCUAUUUGACAAAGGCUCCAAAGGAAGCCACGGCUAACUCUGUGCCAGCAGCCGCGGUAAUACAGAGGUGGCAAGCGUUGUUCGGAAUUAUUGGGCGUAAAGAGCACGUAGGUGGAUUUGUAAGUCAGACGUGAAAGCCUUCUGUUCAACGGAAGAAUUGCAUCUGGAACUACAAACCUUGAGUGUAGGAGGGGAGAGUGGAACUUCUGGU